UUUUAUUCAAUUAAAGGUAAUUUGAAAAAACUGUUCAAUGAACUUUCCACAUACUGUUCUCUCUGCGCAUGUCUAUAUACGUUUUCCCGCUUUUUUUAUGUCGUGGAGGUGGGGAUCUUUUUCACUAUCAAGGGUUUGCAACAGUACUGCGCGUUACGUAAAUUCGGUAUAACCCUGUCCAAGGAUCCUCAUUUUUGACUUAACGUGGUCGGAGCUGCUACCAGUGAAGGUUGUGAAAUGGUGGGCACACGACGCGGGGACGUCGAGAUAUCCGAAAAUUGCCCCAACACUUCAGGAUCAUCUGGAGCACCAAAAAGAGGCCCAACAUCUCCCAGUGUGUCCUCAUUGUCUUCAACAGACUAUGAUAACACCAUCAUUCAGGGACUGAACCGAGAGCGUGUGCAUGACCACGUGAGUUCUCUAUUCCUUGCUUUCCAAACAAUGUACAGGUGCAGCAUAUACAUAACGAUACAGUGUGAUGGAUAAAAUGAACCACAUAUUAGCAACAGCUACCGUACACACUCAACAUUUCAGUUUCACCAAAGGGGGGGGGGGGGGGGGGUAUUCAAAAUGAAACUACAAAAGUAAUAAAUGUGAGUAUUCUUAAAUCA
rnacentral:lncRNA from 1 species